rnacentral:rRNA from 1 species
AUUGAACGUUGGCGGCAGGCUUAACACAUGCAAGUCGAGCGGAGUGAUGGUGCUUGCACUAUCACUUAGCGGCGGACGGGUGGGUAAUGCUUAGGAAUCUGCCUAUUAGUGGGGGACAACAUCUCGAAAGGGAUGCUAAUACCGCAUACGUCCUACGGGAGAAAGCAGGGGAUCACUUGUGACCUUGCGCUAAUAGAUGAGCCUAAGUCGGAUUAGCUAGUUGGUGGGGUAAGGGCCUACCAAGGCGACGAUCUGUAGCGGGUCUGAGAGGAUGAUCCGACACACUGGGACUGAGACACGGCCCAGACUCCUACGGGAGGCAGCAGUGGGGAAUAUUGGACAAUGGGGGGAACCCUGAUCCAGCCAUGCCGCGUGUGUGAAGAAGGCCUUAUGGUUGUAAAGCACUUUAAGCGAGGAGGAGGCUACUGAGACUAAUACUCUUGGAUAGUGGACGUUACUCGCAGAAUAAGCACCGGCUAACUCUGUGCCAGCCGCCGCCGUAA